GUAGGGAAUAUUGGGCAAUGGAGGCAACUCUGACCCAGCCAUGCCGCGUGCAGGAUGACGGCCCUCUGGGUUGUAAACUGCUUUUAUACGGGAAGAAAAAAUACUACGUGUAGUAUACUGACGGUACCGUAAGAAUAAGGAUCGGCUAACUCCGUGCCAGCAGCCGCGGUAAUACGGAGGAUCCAAGCGUUGUCCGGAUUUAUUGGGUUUAAAGGGUGCGUAGGCGGAUCUUUAAGUCAGUGGUGACAGCCUGCAGCUUAACUGUAGAAUUGCCAUUGAAACUGAAGAUCUUGAAUGUGGUUAAAGUAGGCGGAAUGUAUCAUGUAGCGGUGAAAUGCUUAGAUAUGAUACAGAACACCGAUAGCGAAGGCAGCUUGCUGAACCAUUAUUGACGCUGAGGCACGAAAGCGUGGGGAGCGAACAGGAUUAGAUACCCGUGUAGUCC
rnacentral:rRNA from 1 species